rnacentral:rRNA from 1 species
UACAUGUGGGGCAAGCGUUGUUCGGAAUUAUUGGGCGUAAAGGGCGCGUAGGCGGCUUUUCAAGUGACGGGUGAAAUCCCUCGGCUUAACCGAGGAACUGCCUGUCAGACUGGAAGGCUUGAGACCGGGAGAGGUGAGUGGAAUUCCCAGUGUAGCGGUGAAAUGCGUAGAUAUUGGGAGGAACACCAGUGGCGAAGGCGGCUCACUGGACCGGAACUGACGCUGAGGCGCGAAAGCGUGGGGAGCAAACAGG